GUACCAGUAGCUCAGCUGGAUAGAGCAACGGCCUUCUAAGCCGUGGGUCGGGGGUUCGAAUCCCUUCUGGUACA
rnacentral:tRNA from 1 species